rnacentral:piRNA from 1 species
UGCAAUUGGUAUAUCAUAUGGAGCAUUUUC